UAAACUGAUUCUUUUCACUUUCUCGCAAGUUCGGAAACCUUUCCUUCACUUUCUCAUCAUCCAAACACCAAAACCAUCAACAACCAUGACAACAAUCAGUCUCCGGAAGGGAAACACACGUCUUCCACCGGAAGUUAACCGCGUCCUCUACGUUCGCAACCUUCCCUUCAACAUAACAAGCGAAGAAAUGUACGAUAUAUUCGGCAAAUACGGUGCUAUUCGUCAGAUCCGAAUCGGAACUAACAAAGACACGCGCGGCACCGCUUUUGUCGUUUACGAAGACAUUUACGACGCUAAAACUGCCGUCGAUCAUCUCUCUGGUUUCAAUGUCGCUAAUCGAUAUCUCAUCGUUCUUUAUUAUCAGCAUGCUAAGAUGAGUAAGAAGUUUGAUCAGAAGAAGAAGGAAGAUGAAAUUGCUCGUAUGCAGGAGAAGUACGGUGUUACUACUAAAGACAAGUAGUUCAUGAUACAUGUGCAGUAGAGGUGUCUGUGGCCACUAGAGGACAUGCAGUAGCGGAUCAGUUUUGUGAGUUUGUUGUACUAGGAUGUUUGGAUUGUGGAGAUUGCUAAAGGAUGUGCAGUAGAGGUGCCUGUGGCCACUAGAGGACAUGCAGUAGCGGAUCAGUUUAGUGUAGUGUGGCUGCUGUUGCGCUGCACCUCAGAGUGAGAUCGAAAGUUCCAAAUAGGCAUUUAUAAUUUACAUGUUUCGGCUUCUUGGUUGGGGUAUUUUAAGAAUUUUUCAAUUUAAAACACUAGAACAGUGCCUGGGUUUCUAUUCUCAACCUGUCUCACUGCUGCUGUCAUUUUACAAUUACAGCUAGUUUAGUUUUUAGUUUUUAUGUAUAGAAGUAUAAAAUAUAAAAAAUUUCAUAAUAGGGGAAAUUCUGCCAUCUGCUAUAGUGUUUUUAGGGGUCAGCCGCUAUGUAUGCUGUUCUAUCAAGGAUUGAUAACAUUAACUAUACAGUCUAUACUUCCAUGUUUGGGAUGUAUAGACCUAAAUCUGAAGAAGAUAUUGCUCUUUUGAGUGCAGGUAAUCUAUUGGGUAUAAACUUCUAAUUUGAUUUCAAAUAUAGCUGAUAUAAAUAUUUCAUUACUGUGGUAUUAUUUCAUUUUCUUGAGUUUGGUGAACUCAUCGAAACAAGAAAAAUUACUUCCCAAGAGCAUACUCAAAUAUUUUAGCGUAGAUUGAAAAAGUAGUAAUUGAAUGCUAAUGUGCUAGCAAUUGUUAAAAUUUACUGUCUUAAUCAAUGUCUAA